GGUUCUCAGUUCGAUUGUAUUUUUUUUUUUUUUUUUUUUUUUUUUUUUUUUUUUUUUUUUUUUUUUUUUUUUUGAUGUAUUUUUGAAUUACUUAUUUAAUACAAUUUGUAACUUUGCUUUUCAAUUAACAAUUUCGCAAGCGUUCUUCGCCAUUAGUGUCCCCACUACUUAUAGUUUCUUAACAUGGAGUCAAAAACCUACUCUCACUAAUAAUUAUUAAUUAUUAUUUGAUCCAUAAUAUUGAUCCAAAUUAUAAGAAUAGUAACAAUUAUUUAUCGUUGUGUCCAUUUAUUAUAAAUAUUCUUUGACGGUUAGCAGGAAAGUGGACAUAGGGUGCCAAUCAAACCACCAAUUGCAAAUUCAUGCGACGUUUCGAUCCUUUAUUGGACCAUCAUCAGGCAUCUACA
rnacentral:misc_RNA from 1 species